GCCUUCGUGGUGUAGAGGUUAGCACGCUCGGCCUGUAACCGAGAGGUCCGUGGUACGAUUCCCGGCGAAGACG
rnacentral:tRNA from 1 species